rnacentral:rRNA from 1 species
GACGAACGCUGGCGGCGUGCCUAAUACAUGCAAGUCGAACGCAGUGGGGACGGGUGAGUAACACGUGGGUAACCUCCCAUCAGAGGGGAUAACACUUGGCAACAGGUGCUAAACCGGUAUUGGUUGAUGUAGCCGGGGUGCAUUAGCGAGUUGGUGAGGUAACGGCCCACCAAGGCUACGAUGCAUAGCCGGCCUGAGAGGGUGAUCAGCCACACUGGGACUGAGACACGGCCCAGACUCCUACGGGAGGCAGCAGUAGGGAAUCUUCGGCAAUGGACGAAAGUCUGACGGAGCCACGCCGCGUGAGUGAAGAAGGUUUUCGGAUUGUAAAGCUCUGUUGUUGGAGAAGCGGUAUCUAACCAGAAAGCCACGGCUAACUACGUGCCAGCAGCCGCGGUAAUAC